rnacentral:rRNA from 1 species
GGGAAUCUUGCGCAAUGGGCGAAAGCCUGACGCAGCAACGCCGCGUGGGGGAUGAAGGCCUUCGGGUUGUAAACCCCUUUCAGGAGGGAAGAAAUUGACGGUACCUCCAGAAGAAGGACCGGCCAACUACGUGCCAGCAGCCGCGGUAAGACGUAGGGUCCGAGCGUUAUCCGGAAUCAUUGGGCGUAAAGAGCUCGUAGGCGGUUCAGCAAGUCGGCUGUGAAAGUCCGAGGCUCAACCUCGGAAUUGCAGUCGAUACUGCUGUGACUCGAGUCCGGUAGAGGAGAAUGGAAUUCCCGGUGUAGCGGUGAAAUGCGCAGAUAUCGGGAGGAACAUCAGUGGCGAAGGCGACUUCCUGGGCCAAUACUGACGCUGAGGUGCGAAAGCGUGGGGAGCA